ensembl:lncRNA
GGAGGAUACAGACAGAGAGAGACAGAUAGAGAGAGCUCUCGCACACCUCUUCGUGGAGAGAGGGAACAGAGCGUCACACUGAGUGAGGAGUGGAAGGAGAGAGGGCAACAGAGAAGGAGAUGACUUCAUCCACUGUGCCCACUUGCUGAAGACAUGGGCACGCCACGGGUGAUGGGAUCAGCUACAUUAAUGAGAGACAGUAAAGAGAGAGAGGGAGUAAAGAGAGAGAGAGUAAAGAAAGAAAAUGAAAAAACAGGGAGAGAGGAGUAUACAUAUAUCUGCUCGGUGAUUGGCACGGUGGCAUAACUUUUAGCGACAUCCUCCCUGGCACCCCUGUGCCUCACUCUGAAACAUUCAGACCUAUUUUUACACCAACUGUUACUUCAGUUUAAACAUGGUGUGUGUGUGUGUGUGUUUGUGCACUUGUGUGCACCUGUGUGGUGUUGUGAGAGGUCCCUGGUAAGAUCCGAGAUGGUGUCAGAUAAGUGUGUGUCAACACUACAACUCUAUAGGGGGCUAGUGAGGGGUGAAAAGUGGCAGAAGCUGAUUAGUUAGUUAGUUACAUGUCUUGGUAAGAGAUCGGGGUGUUGCUGAACAAUGUUUUGUGUUCAGGGAUAGAGAUCUUCAAGGUGCUACACCAGGGUUUCUGUUGUGAAAAUGUGGCGCUGGACAUUUGACCGGCAGCAUUUUAAUUUAAUUUACCGGACAUUUGAGAAAUGUACCAGGCCCAUAUGCAUUGGGUGUGAAACCUGAUUAGAGAGUCUAACUCAAUGUGUUCAGAUUGACAUAAAUCACAUUUAGAUUAUGGUAAUUCAUCUUAACAGAAUAUGCAUGUCGAGGAUGCAAGGAUAUGUGUCCUGACCGCGCACUUUGAAGAUAAUAGAAUAACUGUCCCCAUUGACUUUUCCCUCAGCCAACAAGACCAGUAACGAGCAGCAAAAUCACUAGCCAUUGCAUAGACUGAGCGUGAGUUUUCAAGUUUGGGGAAACAAAUUUUCCCCAUAAAAAUGCACCUUUAUAAGAAAACAUUCCAUGCAUCAUCGCAUUUGCAGACUUAUAUAAGAUAGCUUACUAUUUGUGAUGUGAUCAGUAGACUGGCUAGUCAUAAUUUAUGCUAAUAAUAUGUUUAAAUCACUGUUCACAAAAAAUACUGUUCAAUGCAUGGCUGAGCGUGUAUAGUGUAGAGGACUGGGCUAUAGGCGUGGGAAAAGCACAUUUCAUGCAAUUCUACCACACUUUAAAUGACUGGAGACAUUAGUGUUGUCCAUAUAAUAGGCCUAUGAGAAAGGGAGACACAAAUAGAAUAUGACGUCCAUCUAACGGAGGAAAUUACUGUCCAAAAAUUAACUUUUAAGUGGCACUGACCCAGCAAUGACAAAAAGUGAAUAUACGCAGGGCGCAAGUUCACUGGGGAUAUGGCUGAUGGUCUCUGCUGGUGCCAGUAAGGUAGGCUAUAGGCCUUCUGUUGUUCGCUCAAUUCAUUUGAGGAUUUUGAUAACUAAAUUGGAGUCUUUUAGAGUCUUAGAGUCUUUUCAUUAUCUACUCUUUACAGCAAUAGCCAUUUGCUCUCCAAGCGACGUUUUCCUGCGAUAGAAUGUAGAAAUAUUGCAAUAUGCCAGGCUGUCUUUCUACUUUUCACUGACAGUUGCAACUCAACAAUAAUCGAUUUGGUAUUUGCAGCGGGCGCUGCCCAAUUUGCGCACGCUGCCUUUCAUUCUGACUGUAGGCAAUGCGAUUUAAAUCAAUCCACAAUUGAUUUAUUUUUAAGGGGAAGCUAACGAACCUCUGUGGCCAAGUCAUGCUUUAGUAGCCUAUUUGGAAUGAUUUGAUUUAUUUCUGUAUAGACAGUGUAGGCUAAUUAGGCUAUCAAUUUACUUAGUGAAAGUUUAGCUUCCCCUCGCCUUAUGGAUGUGUCGCCUAUGAGCCUAUGUCAAUCUACUAUCCCCCAUAGUAGAAAAGGUUCCCUUUUUAUAUUGGUCUGCUUGUCGAGAAGGAAAUAGCCCAAACGGACUCUGGGGCAGUUGUGGGAAGAUCUAUCCCAAAUUCAUACAACCAGUAGGCCUAAGCUACAUAAUAAAACGCUGCAUUAUGCAAAUGAACCUAUAGACCAAUAAGCAUGACCGGUCAAAUGUACAGUAUGUCCAUCAACUGGUAUUUCCAUCAAUGAAUAGGCUAAAAAUGUCACGCCCUGGUCUUAGUAUUUUGUGUUUAUAUAUUUAUUUGGUCAGGCCAGGAUGUGACAUGGGGUUAUUUUGUGUUGUGUUGUGGUAUUGGGGGUUUUAGUAGGUAUUGGGAUUGUGGCUGAGUAGGGGUGUCUAGCAUAAUCUAUGGCUGCCUGAGGUUCUCAAUCAGAGUCAGGUGAUUCUUGUUGUCUCUGAUUGGGAACCAUAUUUAGGUAGCCUGGGUUUCACUGUGUGUUUGUGGGUGAUUGUUCCUGUCUCUGUGUAGUGUUCACCAGAUAGGCUGUAAUUAGGUUUUCACGUUUCGUUUUUGUAUUUAUUUAGUUAUUUCAUGUAUCGCUAUUUUUUCAUUAAAGAACAUGAGUAACCACCACGCUGCAUUUUGGUCCGACUCUCCUUCAACAGACGAACGCCGU